UGGGGCGUGGCCAAGCGGUAAGGCGGCGGACUUUGGAUCCGCUAUCGGAGGUUCGAAUCCUCCCGCCCCAGCCA
rnacentral:tRNA from 1 species